rnacentral:rRNA from 1 species
GACGAACGCUGGCGGCGUGCUUAACACAUGCAAGUCGAACGAUGAAGCCGGAGCUUGCUCUGGUGAAUUGGUGGCGGACGGGUGAGUAACACGUGGGUAACCUGCCCAUAAGACUGGGAUAACUCCGGGAAACCGGGGCUAAUACCGGAUAACAUUUUGAACCGCAUGGUUCGAAAUUGAAAGGCGGCCUCGGCUGUCACUUAUGGAUGGACCCGCGUCGCAUUAGCUAGUUGGGGAGGUAACGGCUCACCAAGGCAACGAUGCGGAGACGACCUGAGAGGGUGAUCGGCCAAACUGGGACUGAGACACGGCCCAGACUCCUACGGGAGGCAGCAGUAGGGAAUCUUCCGCAAUGGACGAAAGUCUGACGGAGCAACGCCGCGUGAGUGAUGAAGGCUUUCGGGUCGUAAAACUCUGUUGUUAGGGAAGAACAAGUGCUAGUUGAAUAAGCUGGCACCUUGACGGUACCUAACCAGAAAGCCACGGCUAACUACGUGCCAGCAGCCGCCGUAA